rnacentral:misc_RNA from 1 species
CGAGCGUAGAACUCUUCUGUGUUUGGAAGUGAGUGGAGCUCUCCUGCGUCAGUUGCAAAAAGGUUGUUGUUGUUGUUGUUGGUUGUUUUUUGGAUUUCAUUUUCAGGAAAUGCUAAAAUGGCCGAAGCUGCAGAAAAUUCUGAACUGAGUGCAUUAAAAAUGGAAAAUGAACAGUUUGAAUGUUCAGCUGAUGUCAACGAUUCAUUGCCGAAUGACGUGGAAAUAACGGAGAAAGAUGCUCAACCAACAACAGAAACCCCAAAUUGCAGUACUGUGGAUACCCCAAAGGAAUGCGUACCGUUUAAAGUAGUAUUUAAUAAACAGAAAUUUGAUGUUGAGUUCGAUUUGGAUAAAACAAUCAGCCAAGUGAAGACCGGCAUUGAAAAAAUUAUUGGUGUUCCUGCUACCAUGCAAAAAAUUAUGUUUAAAGGUUUAGCAAGAGACGAUAUGACAUUGAGGGAGCUGAAAGUGACCAAAGGUGCCAAAAUGCUUGUGGUUGGUUCCACUUUAACUGAUGUUCUUUCUGUGAGUACUCCCACAGGGGAAGAUAAAGAUGAAACCAAAGAGGCUGCCACUUCAAAAGAGCCUUUAUCUCAACAAAAGGUACAUAAAAAAGUAUUGGAGAAAUACAAUAAGCCUGAGGAUGUGCUGCCAGGCUUUCAGGGCAAGAAAUAUCCACUGCCUUCUCAACCAAUUUCCGGAAUGUACAAUAAGUCUGGCGGCAAAGUACGGCUUACCUUUAAAUUAGAACUUGAUCAGUUAUGGAUAGGUACAAAAGAAAGAACUGAUAAAAUUCCCAUGAAUACCAUUAAAGCUGUUGUCACAGAAGCUCUAGAAGGACAUGAAGAUUAUCAUAUAAUGCGACAAGCAGCCCAGACAGGGUUAUGUGGAAAACUGGAAGCAAACCACACUGUGUGCUAACAGGGAUCAUGCGACAGGUCGGGACAUAUUGAGAAGCUUUGUUUGGUGAACUGGUCGAAGCCAUUGUUUACAAACCAGCAAAUGGAAUUCAGCUUGGGACCACUGAAGCAUCUCGUUAUUGGGUAUACUGGGUUCCAGCUCAGUACGUAGAUGCCAUUAAAGAUGCUAUCCUCGGCAAGUGGCAGUAUUUUUGAUGUGGGAUGGAGGCGAGCAGCACACACAAAAGAGAAAAAAAAAGAGGAAGAUACAAAAACAACAACUUUGUGCAGCAUCUGGCAAUAUUAGCAACUGACUGCCCAGAGUGAAGAGUUCUUCUGUGAAGAAUUUUUUUCCUGGUUUCUAUCCCUACCAUCAUCACAUUUGCUGGGCCAGGUAUCAGUUGGCAGCACUUCUUUUUGCAAUUUUACUGGAAGGUGGUGUUUGGGCCGUCACUUAACAGCAUUUGUCAUGUUGCUAUAUUUUGGGUCUUACCUUAAAGCCAUUGGUCCUUGCUAUUUAUUGUGUCUCGACACACGAGAAUACAUUAUUGAAAUUUAAUGUAGCAGACUGUGUUAACAGGCACAAUUCUUUCUUGGCCAAACUUGUCUUAAAUUAAACUCUCUUAAACUUUUGUUCUUUUUACUUUGAAUGUAAAAUUAAAAACCAGAAAAAAAGGGUUUUUUUUUUGUCUUUUUAAUUUCACCAAACACUUCAUCCAUCCAUGUAUCCAUCCAUGCUUGCUGUCUUGACAGUCUGUCUGUUAUUUGAUUGUGAUUUCAUUUUGUUAAUUAUUAUUUUCGUUAAUUAAUUAAGAUUAGUUUUCUAACUAGUUUUGAGACACGGUAUGUGUAUGUGUUCAUAUUUUCUGGUUUCUCUGCUACUUUAUUUAAAUAAUGAUUUGGAUGUGCACAAAGCAGUGGGAGGCAACGCCUUGCUCCAUCAUCACCGAAACAAACCAACCCUGCACUCCCAAUCCAUCCUGAAUUAUUUUGUUAACGCGUCUCUGUGCAGCCAGCUGCCCGUUUGUGCAACCAUGGGAUACCAAACAACUACUGAACACGUAUUCAAUAUAACUGAUUCUAUUGUUAAUCUCUUCCUGAUUAAAAGCACUCUCAUUAUUUCUUGUGAUAUUGUCUUUAUGUGUGUGAUACAUAAACAUGCAUCAACACACAUCCAUUUGCAUAUCUACAUACAUGCAUGUGUAGAUUCGUGAACGUUUGUUUUGCGCUUGUUCUGGUGUGUUAAUUUCAUUACAACUUCAUCCCCGGCCCUGUUUGUCUAUAUACACCCAGUAGGGUUUUGUCAAUGCUAGUCAAGUUUUAGUUGCCCUCUAUCUAUCAGGAGAUUCAUAAUUAACUUAAAUAUUUACUACUAGAGAAGGGCUGUCCCUUUUACCUCUCCUACUCUCUAUUAACCAUGUCUGAGGAACCGGAUUCUUUGUUGGCAUCUGAGUCCUGCACAGCUUACAUUGCUACCAAGUUAAAUUCAGACAAGUUUGGCCAGUCAGAAUUGAACCUAGCAUCCCCAAUCUGCCAGGUUUGAAUGUUUUGAUUCCCCUUUGCCUGCUCUAUUCAGACUCAUCCACCCUCUCCAAUCUGUCAGAAUUUACAAUUUUGAUGACCCACCACCCUCCAAUUUUUUCAGAAUUUACAAAUUUCAUGAUUGUGGUUAAAUUAGAAUUUUUUUGGAUGUUGAUGUCAGAGUUGAUUCAUCUCCUCUUCCUCCCCCCCUGUCCCUGUCAUCACAGCAAUUUUUUUCAUAAAUAAUUCUCAGUUCAGACAAGCUCAGCCUCCUAACCAAUUAUUGGCAGUACCAAAAGAUAAGAUUUUUUUUUUCCUUUUUGUUUUUUUAUAUCACAACUCUGCCUGGUCUCUUUGAAUGUUUGUGACUAUAUAAUACGUAUAUCUAUCUUACAUCAGUUAGAAGCAGUUUUGUCUUGUAGACAUAAAUAAGCUUAAACCUGAAUCUGUCUGUCUGUCCUCUGCUAUUUCAUAGACAAACUUUACUUACCUUAGACGAAGAUAUUUAAAUGAUUUUAUAGCUAAGGUUUCUGUCUUGCUCUUUUAAUUUCUACAAUAUUCCAAAGUGUUCAUGUAGUACUUGGGUAUUUUGCAUUCAUAAGGGUUAUUUCAUUAUUAAUAUUGUUGUUAUUAUUACUGUUUGUUUUUUUAAAAUGUUUUUCCAGUAGUUAAUUAGCUAAAAAUGCCAAGAUUAUUUUUGAUUUGAUUUCUGCUGUUUUGGUUUGUUAUUAUAAUGAACAGUCACAAAUGCGUACACCUUACGCACGUGCACACACACACACACACACACACACACACACACACACAAGCUCAUAUGCAUACAAAGCUAGAUUUUAAAAUUAAUUUUGCUACUGCUUAAUUUUGGUUUGUUUAGCUAAAGAAUAUAAAUUACACCCACUAACGCAUACGUUUGACGUUUUUUUUGGUUUUAACCCUGCAAAACUCUGUCCUCACAUUGUAAUGUUUUUGUUGUUCACCAAUAAGCUGUUUCUUCUUCGUCCAGACAUUUCAAGUCUCCUCAACUUAUUUUUUAUUAUUAAAUUUCAUUUUCCAAUAAUUUUCUCUCCUGGCUUUGAAAACAAAAGAAAAAAAAAAAUUUUUUAUUUUGACUCGUUUUUGUUUUAUUUUCUAAAUACUAUUUUUUGAUUAAUGCUCUGAGACAUAUUUUCCUCUUUUUCCCUUCUUUCACUUUGUUUAUUCUAAUGAUUUUAUUAUCCCUCUCUCUCUCUCUCUGUCAAUGCUUUUAUUUGCUGUUUUGUUGAUCCCUCUUUUUCCCUCUCUCUAUCUCACAUGACAACCUAUUGUUUAAAAAUGUUUUGUGUUUGUCAUGAAUAUUUUGUCGAAAUUUGGGAAAUAAUAAGAAAAAUAAUAAAGAAUGUCGAGAGUAAA